GUGAAUCAUCGAAUCUUUGAACGCAAAUUGCACUCCUUGGUAUUCCGGAGAGUAUGCCUGUUUGAGGGUCAGUUUAAAUAAAAAUCGGUGUGGUUGCUGGCUUUCGUGGUGCCGCAUUGGAUUUGGGCUGUCUUGCCUUCGGUUAAGAGACCUAAAAUUCCGCAUGAUUCUUUUCGUACGUAUUUAAGUGAUUGUA
rnacentral:misc_RNA from 1 species